GGCCGUAGCUCAGUGGUAGAGCACCUGCCUCUCAUGUGUGAGGCCCUGGGUUUGAUCCUCAGCACCA
rnacentral:tRNA from 1 species